rnacentral:rRNA from 1 species
AUUGAACGCUGGCGGCAGGCCUAACACAUGCAAGUCGAGCGAGCGGCGGACGGGUGAGUAAUGUCUGGGAAACUGCCUGAUGGAGGGGGCUAACUACUGGAAACGGUAGCUAAUACCGCAUACCAACCGAUGUGCCCAGAUGGGAUUAGCUAGUAGGUGGGGUAACGGCUCACCUAGGCGACGAUCCCUAGCUGGUCUGGGAGGAUGACCAGCCACACUGGAACUGAGACACGGUCCAGACUCCUACUGGAGGCAGCAGUGGGGAAUUUUGCACAAUGGGCGCAAGCCUGAUGCAGCCAUCCCGCGUGUGUGAUGAAGGCCUUCGGGUUGUAAAGCACUUUCAGCGGGGAGGCGUUACCCGCAGAAGAAGCACCGGCUAACUCCGUGCCAGCAGCCGCGGUAAUUC